AGAGUUUGAUCCUGGCUCAGGAUGAAUGCUGGCGGCGUGCCUAACACAUGCAAGUCGAGCGGCAGCGCGAGUAGUUUACUACUUGGCGGCGAGCGGCGGACGGCUGAGUAACGCGUAGGAAUGUACCCCAAAGUGAGGAAUAACUGCCCGAAAGGGUGGCUAAUGCCGCAUAUGGUCUUCGGAUUAAAGCCCUUGGGCGCUUUGGGAACAGCCUGCGUACGAUUAGAUAGUUGGUGAGGUAAAGGCUCACCAAGCCAACGAUCGUUAACUGGUUUGAGAGGAUGAUCAGUCAGACUGGAACUGAGACACGGUCCAGACUCCUACGGGAGGCAGCAGUGGGGAAUCUUCCACAAUGGGCGAAAGCCUGAUGGAGCAACGCCGCGUGAAGGAUGAAGGCCUUCGGGUUGUAAACUUCUUUUAUGAGUGAAGAAUAUGACGGUAACUCAUGAAUAAGCACCGGCUAACUACGUGCCAGCAGCCGCGGUCAUACGUAGGGUGCAAGCAUUAUCCGGAGUGACUGGGCGUAAAGAGUUGCGUAGGUGGUGUAUCAAGCGAAUAGUGAAAGCUGGUGGCUUAACCAUUCAGUCUAUUAUUCAAACUGAUAUACUCGAGAGUAGCAGAGGUAACUGGAAUUUCUUGUGUAGGAGUGAAAUCCGUAGAUAUAAGAAGGAACACCAAUGGCGUAGGCAGGUUACUGGGCUAUUUCUGACACUAAGGCACGAAAGCGUGGGGAGCGAACCGGAUUAGAUACCCGGGUAGUCCACGCCGUAAACGAUGGAUACUAGCUGUUGGAGGUAUCGACCCCUUCAGUAGCGAAGCUAACGCGUA
rnacentral:rRNA from 1 species